rnacentral:rRNA from 1 species
AAGGAUCAUGUAGCCGAGAUUGAUUCGGGCUCCGGCCCGAUCCUCCCACCUUUUGUGUACCUACCUCUGUUGCUUUGGCGGGCCGCGGUUCUCCGCGGCCGCCCCCCCUCCCCGGGGGGUGGCCAGCGCCCGCCAGAGGACCAUCAAACUCCAGUCAGUAAACGACGCAGUCUGAAAAACAUUUAAUAAACUAAAACUUUCAACAACGGAUCUCUUGGUUCUGGCAUCGAUGAAGAACGCAGCGAAAUGCGAUAAGUAAUGUGAAUUGCAGAAUUCAGUGAAUCAUCGAAUCUUUGAACGCACAUUGCGCCCUUUGGUAUUCCGAAGGGCAUGCCUGUUCGAGCGUCAUUACAACCCUCAAGCUCUGCUUGGUAUUGGGCACCGUCCUUUGCGGGCGCGCCUCAAAGACCUCGGCGGUGGCGUCUUGCCUCAAGCGUAGUAGAACAUACAUCUCGCUUCGGAGCGCAGGGCGUCGCCCGCCGGACGAACCUUCUGAACUUUUCUCAAGGUUGACCUCGGAUCAGGUAGGGAUACCCGCUGAACUUAA